rnacentral:lncRNA from 1 species
UGGGAGCAUGUUACUGUUUGUUAUUAAUUAUCCAUGUUGGACUUGGAUAAAAUAUAGGAGAAAACCAGUGUUCGGAACCUGUCAUAUGUUAAACUACCUGAUUUAGCCUUAGAGGCCGUUGUACUUUUAUAUAGUUGCAGUGUUCUUAUGGUGAGUACCCCAGGUAGUCUAAUUUACUGUUACACUCGUGCUGGGAUGCCGAGUCUAUUUUUACAGCAGUGUUUAGACUGUUCCGGACUAGUGGGUGCCGUCUCGGUUGACGGUGGACCCGGAUUUGGUCAUUUUGAGAUCCGAUUAUGCCGAGGGCACGUGACUAGUGGUCAGUAGCCAAUUGGACUUAUUUUCUUGACUUUAGCCUGUAAGAGUCUGAUUGAGCUUGACAGAGAUACGCUAGCAUACUCGGUUGGGUCGCGCCCACGAGUUGCCGCUCCGGAGUUUGGCUUUGUGCUUUCGCGUUGAUGUCACUGACUAGUUUUUCUAUCCACUGACUGUUUUGCAUGGAGGUAGCGUGGCUUAGACAGGCGGGACGGAUGCGUUCACAGUCCACGGGACGGGUGUGUUCACAGUCCCUAUUGAGAUUUGGUCAGAUUUGACAGUUACUACAGUUGGAUAGUGUAGUGGCAGGUAGCUGUAGAUAUCUGUAAUACACUGAAUUUUUGCAAAUUGCGGAGUUCGAGUGUGUGGCAGGAGUUGUGGAACUAUCCCACAUGUUUUAAAAGGCUUGGACACAUUUUGGGACAAGUUAGAGAGUGAUCGGAUUGCCGGAGACGAGAAAGUGCAUUGAAAUUGCGAAAUUGGCAUUUUCUGCAUUGGUGUACCGGUACAAGCUUAAUGUUGUACCGGUACAGCAAGCAGCUGAGGCAGCUGGUGCGUGGCAGCAGGGUUUUUUUGGUCUUUUGGCAUCUGAUCUUAUCCCUACAGCUACCUGGUCGACCCCUGAAGUUGCUGGAAGGCCUUAGAACUCAGAGCAAGCUUCUUCCCUUUUUCCCUCUUUCUCUCUCUAGGGUUUUUCUCUCUCUAGGUAAAAUUCGCCGUUUCGUGCCGAUUUCGCACCGUCCGUGUUGCUCGCUGGUUUGGAGACUCAAGGGCAGUGCCUGGAGCGUGGGGAGAGGGAAGUUUGCUGAGUUUUCUGUGAGGUUACUAUCUGGGAAGCUAUUUGAAAGCUUUAGAGAGGUAAUUAACUUGAUUUUCUCUCUAGUUUGCGGUUUAGCGUCGAAUUUUGAGCUGUUUUGGUAUUGCUGCUUCUAACUGAAUUAGAUGAUGUUUACAGCAGUGAAGAAGGGUUAUUUUGGCUAUUAAUUAUCCACCUAACCGCAGAGAACAGUUGCCUUAAAGCUUAUUAAGGAUAAUUAGUGAAUUAUAACACAAUUUUGGACUUAUAUACGGGUUAAUCGCGUAAUUGACGCAGUUUUGUAUGAUUUCCUCGCAGCAGGUUUUUGAGCCUCUUUGAGCUGAACGUGUACUCUUGGGAGCUGGUUUGGAGGGUAUUCUAAUUAAGGGUAAUUAGAAAUUUCAGUUUUAAAACUGAUUUUGCAAGAGUUCGAUGAUAUUAAUCUAUAUUUGAGCGUUUUGAUGCUGUUUCGACGUGGUUUGCAGCGAGAGUGCGACCGAGCUUUAGAGCACCUUUAGUGGACUUGUGAGAGCUCUUGGAGACUCAUCUUGAGGUAUUAACUAGCCCAAAGCAGGGAUUCAAGCUACUACUGUGUACUAAGUGCAAAUUGUGAUGAGAUCGGACAUUUCGAUUGUAGUAUUGAUGCCACUUUCAUGCCUUGUUUUUCAGCAGAGUUGAGACCUUGUGGAGCGGACUUUGGGAUUUUCUUUGGACUGAUUGAAGCCUAGUAAUAGGUGGGUUUGACCUAACCAGAGCAAGUGAAGCUCCCCUAUGUUCUAUAUGUAUUAUAGACGCGGUUUAAUUAUAUGCCUAUGUGAUUGUUAAAGGGCUCGGAAUUCGUCAUCAUGACGUUUAUCAUAUGUGAAAUGAGCGUUCAUGCAUAAAAGUACUCAUGCAUUAAAGUAUUCUUGUUUAGUUCAGUAGAACAAUCAGGAGAUCAGUUUAUUAUGUUUCUAUGAUAUAGAGAACAUAUAUACAUGAAAGUAUUUCUAUUCAUAUUCAAUACAGUUGAAUGGCUUAUGAACAAGUGUAGGAUGCACUUUAAAGUAGAGAACAAUGACAUUCUCUUGACUCUAACAUAGAGAACUAUGACAUGCUCAUGACUAUGUUGAUAGUGCCAUACUAGUGGAAAGAUUAUAAUGCUAUGUGAUUUAGCUUUACCCUUACAUGUUUACAAUCUAGUGGAUACUAGCUUUUGUUACUAUUUGUGUAUUGACAUUCCGAUCAGAGGAUCGAGGGUUCUGAACUUUGCAUGUGAAAAUAUGAAAAUUGAGACAUGUGGAUAAUGGACUUUGCUUGCUUGCCAUCGUGCUCAUUCGCACACGCUUGUGAGGGUAGCUCCCUACAAGCCGGCACUCCGGAGUUGGCCUACGCGACAGUUGCUCGCCCGUGCGGGAUUGGGUGCCGAAGUGGAUUGCCGUGGGGAGUGUAUACUACCACGGGGCCAUUAGGCGCGGCGCAAGCUGGACUACCUUGAGUAGAUCCCUGUGAAUGAAAGGAAAGUGCUAAAGGAAAUUGGACAGUAAUGAAUAAUUACCAGUUACAGUGUACAGUAGUUACUUACACACUUAUGCUACGUUUAUGCUUAUAGUAGUAGCCAUGCUUCUAUCAUUCAGUUGAUUCAUUACUGUUGAUGCUAUGAUCACAUGUUGUUUACAUGUUCAUUAUUUGUUAACAUUGGCUUAUGAAUUGUUAGCAUUGAAAAUAUAUCAUGCAAAUUACUGCUUUUAUUUCCAUUCUGUACAUCUUGAGCCUAGUGGUGUAAUUCGCCGAGGCUGGCGGCUUACCCACUGGGAACUAUUGUUAAUAGUUCUCACGCCCUUUUGGUGGUUGUUUUUACAGAGCCUGUUACAGGAGAGGCUAGGGAUCGUGGCAAGGGAGUCGCGCCUAGCUAGGGACUACUAGGAGCGUGCUAGUCGAUCACCUUGCUACUCGGGCUACGGCCGAGGGUGAUGUCCAUAUAUAUAUAGAGAGACCACCAUUGUAUCUAUUCUUUUUGUACACCCGUGAUGUAUAUUUACUUUCGGGGUUGAGAUUAUAGUAGUGUUACUUCUCCUUUUUGCUGAGAUCAUGGUUUGUAUACACUUUGUAUUUUGACUCGGAUUGGAUACUCGUUGUAUAUCGACUUGUACUUUGCUCUGAUAUCAGGAUAGGACUCUCUUGUUUUACUUCCUAUCGACUUGCUUCUCGUAGACGCCUUAUAUACUGCAGGUGUAUGGCGGGUCUGUGCACGUGCCGGAUAUGCUUCCGCUGGUACCCGGGCGUGACAGAUUAUAGUGGUAUCAGAGCCUAGGGUUGAGUCUUAGUAGACCUAGCAAACCUUAGGCUGGUUGGACUAUAAGGAUAGGCUCGUGAGAGACGAUGUCUAGUCGAGGUUGUUGUUAGCGAAAGUACUUUGAUUGGGUACUUAUAAACUCCGAAUAGUAGGAGUUUGAUCGGGAUGUGCAAGUACUAACUUUGCAGAGGGUCACGUUGGCGGCCGACAACGUGACAUCGGAAGUUAGUAGGCGUUACAUUUCAUUACUUUCGCUUGAUUAGCUGGUUUAUAUCCUCAAUGAGGGUUCAGUAGUAUAGGGUUUAUUGACCUAUGUUUGUUUUUGUGUUGCAGUUCAAGAUGCCUACGACUCGUUCUGGAACCGCCGGGGCGGCUGAGGCGGCCGCUGCGGAAGAGGUAGAGACUUCCGUCACGUCGGGGUCCAGUGAGCUCCAUGAGUUGCAGGAUCAGCUUGCGACGUUGACAGAGUUGGUUACUCAGCAGGCCGCGGCAGCACGACAGCAGAUGGACGCUGCGCGUCGGCAGGAGGACAGGAUGAAGAGGUUAGAGGAUCUAUUACUGCGGCAGACGACCGAUAGAGAGAUUCCAGGUUCUGUACCUCCGGAUUCUGUACCUAUAGUACCAGAGAGGGGCACCACAGUGAGAGCACAGUCACCGGUACCCGAUACACCCCCAGUAGCUCCGAGGGCAGAGACCCGACAGGAGACAGUAGUACCACCACCAGUACCUGUAGCAGCAGCUGGGACAGUGUUACCCGAGAUGGUGGGGGUUGAGGAGCGAGAGCGGAUGAUGGAACGACUGAAUGAAUUCCGUCGCUGCAACCCUCGUGUCUUUGAUGGGGAGAAAGCAGAUCAUUGGGUGGUUGAAAAAUGGUUAAUGCAUAUGGAGAAACUAUUCUAUGACACUUUUGUUGAGGAGCGGUACCGAGUUUGGUUUGCGACACACCACCUUGAUGGCGAGGCUUACAGGUGGUGGGUGGACAUCCGGGAGGAUCCCCGUGCUGAUUUGUCUGCUAUCACGUGGAACAGGUUCAAGGAGUUGUUGUUGACUACCUAUUUUCCACAGAGUGUGAAGAGGCAGAUGGAAAGGGAUCUGAGGAACUUGAGACAGGGGGACAGGACAGUGGCUGAGUACGAGCGAGAGUUCUCUCGAUUACUGCACUGUGUUCCUUUUGUAGUCCGAGACGAUGAGGACAAGGCUCGUAUUUUUGAGGUGGGUUUGCGACCUGCGAUCUUCAGAUUGGUCCAGGCGUCAAACCUCUCCACUUACCGGGACGUCGUGAACCGGGCUUUGAUUGUUGAGAAGGGGGCAGAAAUCAUGAAGGAAAGAGAUGUUGUGGAUCGAAGCAAAGGCAAGAGACCAGCAGCUGAGAGCAGUGGUCAGCAGUCCUUCAGGAGACCGCCAAAGUAUCCGAGGGGACAGUCAGGACAGUCGAGGGGUCGAGGAUCUUCAGCACCCCGUGGAGCACCCGAGCGUCGACGACCGCCGCGUUGUGUUAUCUGUGGUGGGCCUCACGUACCGCCACAGUGUCCACAGCGUGGGGGCCGGUGCUUUCUUUGCGGCCAGGAGGGCCACUUUCGCUCAGAGUGCCCGAGAGGUUCUUUGCCGGCACCCUCAUUAGCGACUGCACCUGCAUCUUCAGCUCCGAGCCAGGGGACCCCAUCAGCACCCUCGCAGUACAGACGACCACCGGGACAGCGGCAGUCAGAGAGUUCACAGCAGGGUUCGAGUGGGCGGAUGUAUGCCGCCGAGACCGAGGGCGCUGCAGCAGCACAGGAGGUAGUAGGUGGACCGAUGAUGUUGAGGACGGUCCCCACUGAGGACUACUUAUUUUUACAGUAGUUCUCACACCCAGUUGUUACCACUGUUUUGCAAAGCCACCGGUUUCAGUUACUGUGUCUUCCGAGGCUGAUCGAGGCAAGGGCGUCGCGAGUUAGAGCCCUACCCGACGAGUUGCUGAGAUAGAGGAUCCACCACUGCAGGUAGUUUCGGUUUAUUUUGUUGAGGUCAUGUACAUAUAGUUGUUAUAACUCGCUGGAGCGAGUACCUUUGUAUAGCAUUUUGUGGUAUGUAUGUGAGACUUGUCUUAUUCUACCUGUUUGGUUUCUUUACAGCUUUAUAGUACUGGCUGUAGUAUUGAAUAUUUUCAAUUACUGAUACGCUUCGUAUACAGGAAAAAUUCUUUAUAUACGGCGGAUUUGUCGACGUGCCCGGGAAUUGUGUAAUCCGGGGCGUGACAGAUUAAGUUGGUAUCAGAGCUUAGCAUUAGGUCGUUGGGACCUAGAAAAUCUAAGUUUGGCAAACCUUAGGAAGGCAAGACGCGAGAGGCUUAAUUUAUUGCGAAAGUCAAUGAUUAAUUAUUCUAACUCCUCCUAGAGUGGGGUGAGUGAUUGAAGGAGUGCCUGUUUUGGCCUAAGAAAUUAUGUUGGCCGUAGACAACAUAAUUUUGGAGGAAAACAAGGACCGCCUUCCAGAUUUUCGUUGAUUGGGUCGAGAGUGUUUAUGUUUCAUCUGACUCCGAUCUGUUCCUUUCAGCUAUGUAUCGUCACCGAGGUCGACCGUCAUUACGGGAGCGUGCCCAGUUGUCGCAGGAUCGUGCGGGACCUUUCGAGAUGCCUGAGCAUGCGGAGCUGAGUGCCCAACGGGAGUAGAGUGUUCGACCGGAGACGAGUACAUCCCCGAACUUGAGUGCACAGUUAGCCGCCCUGACAGAGGUGACGAGGCGGCAGGGGGAGUUGUUGGAAAGGAUGUGCGAGAGGCUAGCUUCGCCCCAGAGUUCAGCACCGAGGGCACCAGAGUCGUCUAUUCCACCUCCGACUACCCCAGUGACAGCACCAGCUGUAGCAGUCCCUCCACAAGCAGCAGUUCCAGUAGCGCCAGUUGCGCCUGCUAGGGGGCAAGUACAGUUGACAGAGGCCGAGCAGGAGCGGUGGACGGAGAGGUUGGCUCGUUUCCGCCAUUUUGAUCCACCGAUUUUCGAUGGCAGUUGCACUGAGGCCUGGGUUGUUGAGGGAUAGGUCAAUACGAUGGAGAAGUUAUUUGAGGAUUUGUUCAUUCCUGAGGGGUAGCAGGUGUCUUUGGGAGUCCAUUGCUUGGCAGGUAAUGCCUACGCCUGGUGGAGGAGAGUGAGGAGAGAGCAGGGACUGGUAGCGUUGCAGUUGAGAUGGGAUGAGUUCUGUGGAAUGCUGUUUGGGAUGUUCUUUCCCAACAGUGUGAAACAGAAACUCGAGGAGGAUUUGAAGAAGAUUCAGUAGGGGGAUCGUCCAGUGCAGGAGUACAUUCGAGAGUUUACUCGACUCCUGAACUGUGUGCCAUUUGUGGCUAGGGAUGACGCACACAGGGUCUAUCUGUUUGAGCAGGGGCUGAGACCCGACAUUUUCAGGUUGGCGCGGACGCAGAGGUCGAGGACUCUGGAUGCAUCCAUAGAGCAGGUCUUGUGGGUGGAGAGAGGUGAGGUGUCACUACAGGAAAGGACUCAGGCCGUGGGGCAAAGUCAGGAUAGGAAGCGCCGAGCUCCAGACGAUGGUGGAUAGUCGAGCAGCCGGCGUCCGCCGAGACCUCCACGAUCACGUUCUCAGAGUCGUGGGUUCUCGGGGCUUCAGCGUUUUGGGGGACCUCGGCAGCAGAGGCAGUCACAGGGGUUACCACCGUGUGUGAUUUGUGGGGGACCACACUGGGCCCGGCAGUGCCAGCAGUGUGAGGGUCGGUGUUUUGGAUGUGGACAGUCAGGGCACAUGAGGUCAGUUUGUUCCCGAGCAGUAUCACUAGCGCCAUCGACCGCUUCAGCAUCAUCAGCACCUCAGCAGUCUUUUGGAGCACCGCAGAGCUACCGCCAGGAGGACAGGGCAUCUGCACCGCGUCAGGGUGAGCGGCGACAGCAAGCUCCGAGUGGCAUGGUCUAUGCAGCCCAGGUAGAGGACUCUAAAGCGGCCGACCGAGUGGUGGCAGGUAUCACUUUGAUUUCUGGCAUUAGAAUUCGUACUCUUUUUUAUACAGGUGCAUCUCAUUCGUUUGUUAGCCGAGCAUUUGCAUUAUUACAUAGUCUAGAGUUAGGAGCCUUGUCUCAGGCACGAGAGGUGCAGAUCCCAGACCAUGUUUUACAGGUUGCGGAGUGUUGUUGGUCAUAUCCGGUGCAGUUGGAUUUGUGGAUCAUGCCCGCAGACUUGUUGGUUUUAGGGUAGCUACAGGACUUCGACGUUGUGCUCGGUAUGGAUUGGUUGGCCCGAUACUUUGCUACGAUUGAUUGUGGAGCGAGGACAGUGAUGUUCCGUGAGCCAGGCCAAGAGGAGUUUACUUUUAGGGGCUGCAGGAGCACGUUGUUUGCUACUUGGAUUUCUUCGGCGAGGGCUCGACAGCUGAUGAGCAGAGGAUACGUCGUGUUUCUGGCGACGGUAGUAGAGGUGCCUACGGCGGCGCCGAGACUCGACGAUAUCCCUGUAGUCCAUGAGUUUUCGGAUGUGUUUUUUCCUGAGUUGACGACGAUGCCGCCGGAGAUGGAGAUUGAGUUCGUGAUUGAUGUAGUUCCUGGAACUGCACCAAUCUCAAAGGUACCUUACCGGAUGGCACCGGCAGAGCUGAAAGAGCUAAAGGCACAGCUGCAGGAUCUGAUGGAUAAGGGCUAUGUGAGACCCAGUGUGUCGCCUUGGGGAGCGCCGGUGUUAUUUGUAAAGAAGAAGGAUGGUUCGCUCAGGUUAAGUGUGGAUUACCGGGAGCUGAAUAAAGUGACCAUCAAGAACAAGUAUCCACUGCCGUGCAUUGAUGAUUUAUUUGAUCAGUUGCAGGGAUCCUUCGUCUUCUCAAAGAUUAAUCUUCAGUCCGGUUACCACCAGCUGAGGGUGAGGGCCGAGGAUGUUUCCAAGACGGCUUUUCGGACUCGGUACGGGCAUUAUGAGUUUACGGUCAUGCCUUUUGCAUUGACGAAUGCCCCUGCCGCAUUCAUGGAUUUGAUGAAUAGGGUGUUCAAGCCGUUCUUGGAUAGAUUUGUGGUAGUCUUCAUCGAUGACAUUUUGAUUUACUCCCGUAGUGAUGCUGAGCAUGAGGAGCACUUGAGGAUUGUGCUACAGCUUCUGCGAGAGAAGAAGCUGUAUGCCAAGUUAAAGAAGUGCGAGUUUUGGUUGCGGGAAGUUGCUUUCUUGGGCCACGUGAUUUCUGCAGAGGGAGUAGCAGUAGACCCGAAGAAGAUUGAUGCUAUUCAGGAUUGGCCUAGACUGACGACGGUGACUGAGUUGCGGAAUUUUCUGGGACUAGCAGGAUAUUACCAUCGAUUUGUGGAGAGCUUUGCGAAGCUUUCCACACCCCUUACCAGGUUGACACAGAAGGGGAUUCGAUUUGUUUGGUCUGAGGACUGCCAGAGGAGAUUCGACGAGUUGAGACAGAGAUUGAUGAAAGCUCCUAUCCUUGCCCUUCCUGUGAUGGGGGAAGGAUUUGUGAUCUGUAGUGAUGCAUCGCACAAUGGACUGGGUUGUGUGCUGAUGCAGCAUGGUAGGGUGAUUGCUUAUGCUUCACGACAGUUAAAGGAUUAUGAGAAGAAUUACCCUACUCAUGACUUGGAGCUUGCCGCAGUAAUCUUUGCUUUGAAGUUGUGGCGGCAUUACUUGUAUGGCGAGCACUGCUAGGUUUUUACCGAUCACAAAAGUCUCAAGUAUCUGCUCACUCAAAAGGAAUUGAAUCUGAGGCAGCGCCGGUGGUUGGAGUUACUGAAAGACUAUGACAUUAGUAUUCAGUAUCAUCCCGGUAGGGCGGAUGUAGUGGCAGAUGCGUUGAGCAGGAGAGCAGCGCAGAGCUUGAGCUUGUUGAUCACUCAGCAGAGACCGCUACUUGAGGAGCUACAGCGGCUGAGGCUUGAGGUGGUGUCCCCUGGGUCUACUGCAAGACUGAUGUCUCUGGUCUUGCAGCCCACUCCGUUGGAUAGGAUCCGGGAGAAACAGAGUGGAGAUCCGCAUUUGUUGAGGAUUCGAGAGCAGCUAGUUAGGGGACAGGCCGAGGGUUUUGUUUUGGACAGUUCGGGAGUACUGCGGUACAGGGAUCGACUGUGUGUGCUUGUGGAUUCAGAGAUCCAAGAGGACAUCUUGAGGGAGGCUCAUUGUACACCUUAUACGGUUCACCCUAGGGGAACCAAGAUGUAUAAGGAUUUGAAGGCACAGUUUUGGUGGAAUGGGAUGAAGAGGGACAUUGGCAGAUUUGUAGCUUAGUGUCUGACUUGUCAACAGGUAAAAGCCGAGCAUCAGGUUCCUGCUGGCAAGCUUUAGAGUCUGUCAGUGCCCGAGUGGAAAUGGGAACAAAUCACGAUGGAUUUUGUUGUGGAUUGCCUAGAGCACAGGGUGGCUUCGAUGCGAUUUGGGUGAUAGUGGACAGACUUACCAAGUCUGCUCACUUCCUACCAGUUCAGACCACCUGGUCCAGAGAGAGACUCGCGUAGUUUUACUUGGAUGAGAUCGUCAGACUACAUGGUGUGCCAGUAUCGAUUGUAUCAGACCAAGACCUAAGAUUUGUGUCGCAUUUCUGGAGGAGUUUAUAGACAGCUUUGGGGACUCAGUUACAUUUCAGCACAGCAUUCCACCCACAGACAGAUGGUCAGUCGGAGCGGACCAUUCAGACUCUAGAGGACAUGCUGAGGGCGUGUGUCCUGGACUUCGGAGGAGGGUGGUAUCGACACUUGAGACUGGCAGAGUUUGCGUAUAACAGCAGCUAUCAAACGAGCAUUCAGAUGGCUCCGUUUGAAACGUUGUAUGGACGCAGGUGUCAAUCCCCGUUGUUUUGGAGUGAUGUGGGUGAGAGGAGGACACUUGGGCCUGAGAUUUUGCUAGAGGCUGAGAAAAAGGUAAGAGUUGUUCGACGACACCUUUUGACAGCCGAGAGCCGCCAGAGGAGCUACGCAGAUACCAGGAGACGAGACUUGGAGUUCUAGAUUGGAGAUCAUGUUUUUUUAAAGUCUCGCCGUCCAGAGGGAUUCGCCGGUUUGGAGUACGUGGAAAACUUAGUCCACAUUUCGUUGGCCCUUUUGAGGUAUUAGAGCGAGUUGGGCCUGUUGCUUAUAGGAUUGCUCUACCAGCCCGACUAGCUAGCAUCCAUGAUGUGUUCCACGUCUCAGCGUUGAGGAGAUAUGUUUUCGAUCCUUCUCACGUGAUCGACUUCACUCCACUUGAGAUUGGCGAGGACCUGAGAUACGAUGAGCGACCGGUGCGGAUUCUUACUCGCGAGACGAAAGAAUUGCGCAACCGGGUCAUCCCGUAUGUGAAAGUGCAGUAGAGCCAUCACGAGGAACGGGAGGCAACUUGGGAGCCUGAGACAGUGAUGAGGGAGUCUUACCCAGACUUGUUUGAUUCUUCAAGUUGAGGUAUGUGCUAAGUUUCGAGGACGAAAUAUUUUGUAGUGGGGGAGAAUAUAGUAUCCUAAUAUAUAUNUAAAUAAAAUAAACGAAGUAAGCAGCAUGCUACAUUUUUCUCAAUAUAUAUAUAUAUAUAUAUAUAUAUAUAUAUAUAUAUAUAUAUAUAUAUAUAUAUUAGUAUGGAUGCCACGUGUCCCCCCCUCCCAUGCAUGCUUAUCUAUUUAUUUAAUCGAGGGUUGCAACCUACACCUCUUUAACUAAUUUUCCUUCCUCUCUUUUUCUCUGGAGCCGUACGCAAGGAGGAGGAGAACCAGGUUGGAGCUCGUGUGUCGCCGACGUCGCGCCGCGGUACUGUAUGAGCAUGUGUUCGUCGUCGUAACAUCGCGAGAAGGCCGGGCGAGGGUGCGUUUACGCCGUUUUCGACGUCGUGCCGGAUUGGGUUUUGCGUUUGAGGUGGGUUUAUCAUCGAAUUUCUACUCCUAUAGCCUUCUUAGUCAACAUGUAUAGUUAGGAUAUCUGCGUUGGUACUGUUUAGCUUAUAUUCAUGUUUAUGCAUUGUUCUAGGCCUAUAUAUUGAUUUGGGAGCAUGUUACUGUUUGUUAUUAAUUAUCUGUGUUGGACUUGGAUAAAACAUAGGAGAAAACCAGUGUUCGGAACCUGUCAUGUAAGGAAAUGAAUUCUCGAAAUACAAGGAUUAGACUUCGAUUAGAAUCGCCUAGUCGUCGAGUGUGUAAGCUUCGAAAAGUCCGAAGGUGAUUAAAAUGCAUGGAGUGCAUUAAGGAAGGGUCCGCGAGAGCAGCAGUGCAAACCUGCACUAGAGCAGAAUUUCUCUCGGGGACCGGUCCCUGGCAAGGAGGGACCGGUCCCAUCAGGCUGGGCUGCGGGGAUCCUCGAGGCAACCGGUCCCUGGCAGGGAAGGACCGGUUCCCGAACUUUGUCCCAGCAUGCUUAGCUGAAAUUUGGCUAAGUCCCGAGAAUGUUGCUCUCGGGGACCGGUGUCUCUGGGAAGGACCGGUCUCCCGGGGACCGGUCCCUCAGGCAAGGACCGGUUCCCGAACGUGAAAUCCCCUCUGCCGAGAUGGAAGGCUGUCGGGGACCGGUCUCCCCGAGCUGGGACCGGUCCCUCACUGCGAAAAUGCCCAGUGAGGGCUGGUUUAAUAGAUGGAAAGUUGAGGGGCCUAUUUGUAAAAUAGCCUAUAUGAGAGGUGGGGGACCCCUCUCUCCCUCUCAUUUGCUCUCUCUCCCUCUCACACUCUUUCUCUCUCUCUCUAGAAAGAAAAAAAGGAGAAGAAGAAGGAGAGGAAGAAGAGGAAGGAAAAGAAGGAGAAGUGGAAGGAGAUGACCAAGAAGAAGAAGAAGAAGAUCUUCUUCCCUCUUUCCUUCAAGCUAAAGCAAGCUUGGAGCUUGGUUUAGAGGUAAGCUUCAAACCCAUCCAUGGUAGAUUUCUUGAGGUUGGGUUUUAUUGCUUAGAAUUGGUUCGAAUGGAACCUAGAGGAGAUAAAUAGGUGGUUCGAACUCGUAUUUAAAGCUCGUACCACGGAUUUCUCCCUCGUUGCCAUUCUAGGGCACGGAAUUGGGAUGUUUGGUCUCGGAACGCGUCGGCGAAGACGGUUCGUCGAUCCGACGAGCGAGUGCGGAGAAAUCGCCGAGUAGGGCUCGCUUCGCCCCGAGGAGUUGGGGCGACGUGUAAGAACCGCAACGUCGAGUUUUCUACCGUUGCGACAUCACCACAAGGUGGGUGGUGUCCAUCCCGAAGCAAUCAGGCUCCCUUUUAUGUCUUAGUAUUUUGAGAUCUUGCAUCCUGUAUUCACAUGCAUUGUAGGUUAACUGUGCAUCUGCCUUUCCAUAUGCUUUCCUAGCUGAUAUCAUAUUAUGUAUUAGUUGCUUGAUAUAGUGGAUAGAUGAGGAUUGGGUCGAGACUUGUAAUCCUAUAGUGCAGUGAUAAAAGAGUGAUGUAAGGGUUGAAACAAAAGAACGAGUGGCACCUAGUUACUAAUAAACAAAGAACGAGUGGCAUUGUGAGUCGUAGUGUAUAUAAACCCAUGGACUAUGGUGACAGCAGCCCUAGGGGAUAGGGUACCCGUGAGGUGGGAAAUUGGAUCAUACUCAUUGUCUGUUCCCAACUUGUGAUGGUCGCUCCACACAAGUACUGCGCUCCGGAGUCAGUCACGAGGGAUGGCCUAUUUGGGGUCCCGUGGAAUAGGGAUGGCCUAUUUGGGGUCCCGAGGGAUAGCCUAUGUGGGGUCCCGCAGACGGUCUCGGAUUCGUAGUAUCGAGAUGGCUAUGUGAGUAGUAGGCGUAUCCUUGAGUGAGCCACGAGACUAAUGAAUAAGUAAGUAGCCCUACUUCUUGGACAUAUGAAGAGCUAGUUGAUUAUCUAUUUCAUUGUGCAUGCAUCCAUCAUAUUCAUGAUUUGGGCACAGUAGUGUAGCUUUACUAUCUGCUUUCCAGCUUUCCAUACCUAUCUAUCUGUUUAUCUACUCGUCCCCACUUGGACCUAGUGGGGAGAUCGGCAGAGUCGGCGGCCAAACCCACUGGGAACUAUGGAAGAUAGUUCUCACCCCACUCUUUACAGGUUCGAGCUCGGGUGUCCCCGGUGAGCGCGAGGAUCGUGGUAAGGUCCCGGCGCCCUAGCUGCAUUAGCUACCUCCCUUUUGCAUUAGCCGUCACCUCUUGUGUAUUUGAGAGUAGAUAUUGUAUAGGGUGAGGUUUGAGUGCUUGUACUUAUGUUCUGGAAGAAUGUAAAAGAUGAAAUUAAAUGUAUUAAGAUGAAUGGAUGAAUGUAAUAGAUAGAGUUUUCUCUCUUUAUUUACUUGUAUAUUCUAUACUUAUAUCUUGCUCUUGUUUGCUAGCACUGGUGGUGCUCCUCGUGAUCGUGUAUUCAUGAAUUGAUUCCUGGGUAAAUUCUUAUGCACGAUCAGUUGGUUUUGCCUUGGGCGAACAAGGGAGGCCCUGUCCGUUCGGCGUCUGUUCGACGUGUCCGGACCAGACCAAAUUGGUAGCAGUCUCAGGGCGUGACAUGUCAUAUGUUAAACUACCUUAUUUAGCCUUAGGGGUCGUUGUACUUUUAUACAGUUGCAGUGUUCUUGUGGUGAGUACCCCAGGUAGUCUACUUUACUGUUACACUCGUGCUGAGAUGCCGAGUCUAUUUUUACAGUAGUGUUUAGACUGUUCCGGACUAGUGGGUGCCGUC